GGGAUUGCCCUAGUAACGGCGAGUGAAGCGGCAACAGCUCAAAUUUGAAAUCUGGCUCUUUUAGAGUCCGAGUUGUAAUUUGCAGAGGGCGCUUUGGCUUUGGCAGCGGUCCAAGUUCCUUGGAACAGGACGUCACAGAGGGUGAGAAUCCCGUACGUGGUCGCUGGCUAUUGCCGUGUAAAGCCCCUUCGACGAGUCGAGUUGUUUGGGAAUGCAGCUCUAAAUGGGAGGUACAUUUCUUCUAAAGCUAAAUAUUGGCCAGAGACCGAUAGCGCACAAGUAGAGUGAUCGAAAGAUGAAAAGCACUUUGGAAAGAGAGUCAAACAGCACGUGAAAUUGUUGAAAGGGAAGCGCUUGCAGCCAGACUUGCUUACAGUUGCUCAUCCGGGUUUCUACCCGGUGCACUCUUCUGUAGGCAGGCCAGCAUCAGUUUGGGCGGUAGGAUAAAGGUCUCUGUCACGUACCUCCUUUCGGGGAGGCCUUAUAGGGGAGACGACAUACUACCAGCCUGGACUGAGGUCCGCGCAUCUGCUAGGAUGCUGGCGUAAUGGCUGUAAGCGGCCCGUCUUGAAACACGGACCAAGGAGUCUAACAUCUAUGCGAGUGUUUGGGUGUCAAGCCCGAGCGCGUAAUGAAAGUGAACGGAGGUGGGAACCCGCAAGGGUGCACCAUCGACCGAUCCUGAUGUCUUCGGAAGGAUUUGAGUAAGAGCAUGGCUGUUGGGACCCGAAAGAUGGUGAACUAUGCUUGAAUAGGGUGAAGCCAGAGGAAACUCUGGUGGAGGCUCGCAGCGGUUCUGACGUGCAAAUCGAUCGUCAAAUUUGGGCA
rnacentral:rRNA from 1 species